CGGGUGUAGCUCAAUGGUAGAGCGUCGGCUUCCCAAGCCGAUUACGUGGGUUCGAUUCCCAUCACCC
rnacentral:tRNA from 1 species